CCUCUGCCUGCCCAGGUGAAGAUCUGCGACAUGGGCCAGGGGCUCAUCCUGCGGGAUAGUUGUCUUCAAGAACUGAGGAGGGCACAGCAGGGCACCGGCAGCCCUGAGCCGCGGCAAGAGUUGGUGGAGUGCAUGCCACCUGAGGUCGCGUGGGAGGAGGUUACCACUGUGGCUCCAGAGAAGAUUCCUGUGCAGGUGCACAAACUGGACAUCUGGAGC
rnacentral:ribozyme from 1 species